UACAGAGGGGGCAAGCGUUAUUCGGAAUUAUUGGGCGUAAAGGGCGCGUAGGCGGCCUGGCAAGUGGAAGGUGAAAUCCCUCGGCUUAACCGAGGAACUGCCGUCCAAACUGCUUCGCUUGAGACCGGGAGAGGUGAGUGGAAUUCCCAGUGUAGCGGUGAAAUGCGUAGAUAUUGGGAGGAACACCAGUGGCGAAGGCGGCUCACUGGACCGGUACUGACGCUGAUGCGCGAAAGCGUGGGGAGCAAACGGG
rnacentral:rRNA from 1 species